CGUACCUUUUGUAUAAUGGGUCAGCGACUUAUAUUCUGUAGCAAGGUUAACCGAAUAGGGGAGCCGGAGGGAAACCGAGUCUUAAUUGGGCGUUAAGUUGCAGGGUAUAGACCCGAAACCCGGUGAUCUAGCCAUGGGCAGGUUGAAGGUUGGGUAACACUAACUGGAGGACCGAACCGACUAAUGUUGAAAAAUUAGCGGAUGACCUGUGGCUGGGGGUGAAAGGCCAAUCAAACCGGGAGAUAGCUGGUUCUCCCCGAAAGCUAUUUAGGUAGCGCCUCGUGAAUUCAUCUCCGGGGGUAGAGCACUGUUUCGGCUAGGGGGCCAUCCCGGCUUACCAACCCGAUGCAAACUGCGAAUACCGGAGAAUGUUAUCACGGGAGACACACGGCGGGUGCUAACGUCCGUCGUGAAGAGGGAAACAACCCAGACCGCCAGCUAAGGUCCCAAAGUCAUGGUUAAGUGGGAAACGAUGUGGGAAGGCCCAGACAGCCAGGAUGUUGGCUUAGAAGCAGCCAUCAUUUAAAGAAAGCGUAAUAGCUCACUGGUCGAGUCGGCCUGCGCGGAAGAUGUAACGGGGCUAAACCAUGCACCGAAGCUGCGGCAGCGAACGUAUCACCCAAGACAACUUUACGGAGUUGACGAUUGACGGAGCGAAGCGACGUCAAAGCGUUCAUUAAAGUCGAGUUGGCUUAGGGAUACGUUCGUUGGGUAGGGGAGCGUUCUGUAAGCCUGUGAAGGUGUGUCGUGAGGCAUGCUGGAGGUAUCAGAAGUGCGAAUGCUGACAUAAGUAACGAUAAAGCGGGUGAAAAGCCCGCUCGCCGGAAGACCAAGGGUUCCUGUCCAACGUUAAUCGGGGCAGGGUGAGUCGACCCCUAAGGCGAGGCCGAAAGGCGUAGUCGAUGGGAAACGGGUUAAUAUUCCCGUACUUGGUGUUACUGCGAAGGGGGGACGGAGAAGGCUAUGUUGGCCGGGCGACGGUUGUCCCGGUUUAAGCGUGUAGGUGUGUGUUCCAGGUAAAUCCGGUUCACUUUAACACUGAGGCGUGACGACGAGGCACUACGGUGCUGAAGCAACAAAUGCCCUGCUUCCAGGAAAAGCCUCUAAGCAUCAGGUAACACGAAAUCGUACCCCAAACCGACACAGGUGGUCAGGUAGAGAAUACCAAGGCGCUUGAGAGAACUCGGGUGAAGGAACUAGGCAAAAUGGUGCCGUAACUUCGGGAGAAGGCACGCUGACACGUAGGUGAAGUGAUUUACUCAUGGAGCUGAAGUCAGUCGAAGAUACCAGCUGGCUGCAACUGUUUAUUAAAAACACAGCACUGUGCAAACACGAAAGUGGACGUAUACGGUGUGACGCCUGCCCGGUGCCGGAAGGUUAAUUGAUGGGGUCAGCG
rnacentral:rRNA from 1 species